AUGUCUAUGCUUGUCUCAAGAUUAUGCCAUGCAUGUCUAAGUAUAAGCAAUUUAUACAGUGAAACUGCGAAUGGCUCAUUAAAUCAGUUAUCGUUUAUUUGAUAGUACCUUACUACUUGGAUAACCGUGGUAAUUCUAGAGCUAAUACAUGCUUAAAAUCCCGACUGUUUGGAAGGGAUGUAUUUAUUAGAUAAAAAAUCAAUGUCUUCGGACUCUUUGAUGAUUCAUAAUAACUUUUCGAAUCGCAUGGCCUUGUGCUGGCGAUGGUUCAUUCAAAUUUCUGCCCUAUCAACUUUCGAUGGUAGGAUAGUGGCCUACCAUGGUUUCAACGGGUAACGGGGAAUAAGGGUUCGAUUCCGGAGAGGGAGCCUGAGAAACGGCUACCAAUCCAAGGAAGGCAGCAGGCGCGCAAAUUACCCCAUCCCGACACGGGGAGGUAGUGACAAUAAAUAACGAUACAGGGCCCUUUCGGGUCUUGUAAUUGGAAUGAGUACAAUGUAAAUACCUUAACGAGGAACAAUUGGAGGGCAAGUCUGGUGCGCAGCCGCGGUAUUCCAGCUCCAAAGCGUAUAUUAAAGUUGUUGCAGUUAAAAAGCUCGUAGUUGAACCUUGGGCUUGGUUGGCCGGUCCAUCUUUCUGAUGCGUACUGGACCCAACCGAGCCUUUCCUUCUGGCUAGCCUUUUGGCGAACCAGGACUUUUACUUUGAAAAAAUUAGAGUGUUCAAAGCAGGCCUUUGCUCGAAUAUAUUAGCAUGGAAUAAUAGAAUAGGACGUUAUGGUUCUAUUUUGUUGGUUUCUAGGACCAUCGUAAUGAUUAAUAGGGACGGUCGGGGGUAUCAGUAUUCAGUUGUCAGAGGUGAAAUUCUUGGAUUUACUGAAGACUAACUACUGCGAAAGCAUUUACCAAGGACGUUUUCAUUAAUCAAGAACGAAAGUUAGGGGAUCGAAGAUGAUCAGAUACCGUCGUAGUCUUAACCAUAAACUAUGCCGACUAGGGAUCGGUUGUUGUUCUUUUAUUGACGCAAUCGGCACCUUACGAGAAAUCAAAGUCUUUGUGUUCUGGCGGGAGUAUAGUCGCAACGCUGGGACUUAAAUGAAGUGACUGGAAGGCCCGCCCCCCCUGGAGGGGGCCCGCGUAGUUUUAUUCAGCCCCCAGGAGAGGGAACCCCUCCGGGCCCAACCCAUCGGGGGGUCAAAUCGCGUCCUUUAUCUUGUUUUUGGGGGGGGAGGUCUUGACCAAUUAAGGGGGGGAGGGAUUG
rnacentral:rRNA from 1 species